UGCUUUUCUUGAUCAACAGGUGAGGUGAC
rnacentral:piRNA from 1 species